rnacentral:rRNA from 1 species
AUUGAACGCUGGCGGCAUGCCUUACACAUGCAAGUCGAACGGCAGCACGGGAGCAAUCCUGGUGGCGAGUGGCGAACGGGUGAGUAAUAUAUCGGAACGUGCCCGGUCGGUGGGGGAUAACGUAGCGAAAGCUACGCUAAUACCGCAUACGAUCUAUGGAUGAAAGCGGGGGAUCGCAAGACCUCGCGCGAUUGGAGCGGCCGAUAUCAGAUUAGGUAGUUGGUGAGGUAAAGGCUCACCAAGCCGACGAUCUGUAGCUGGUCUGAGAGGACGACCAGCCACACUGGGACUGAGACACGGCCCAGACUCCUACGGGAGGCAGCAGUGGGGAAUUUCGGACAAUGGGCGCAAGCCUGAUCCAGCAAUGCCGCGUGAGUGAUGAAGGCC